CCAACCCUCCCGGGUCACUGAAGUUCUUUCCAAGUCUGCCCUUUUAUACUCUCUUUCCCUCUCUCACACCUUCACAACCAGUAAGACACUUGGUAUAGGUGUUUUUGCAGACUUUGAACUGAGUGGAAGGUAUCUUUCUUCUUCCAGCAGGAGCCCAAAGUUUACUGUAGCAACAUUAAAAGGUGCGAAGGCUCGGGAAAUGUGAGGCUUGGUGUAUGUGGGAAGGGGGCACAUUUUUGUUCUCAACCUGAAGGAAAAUAUUAUGGAGCCAGUGGAAGCCCUAUUUAUUAAGAAAAUCUCAGGGCGGCAACUCUCUCCCACAAAUAGACAAAACAAAACAGAAAUGAACAUUUUCUGUCUGUAUACAUCUAUACAUUACAAGCAAAAGAUAAUGAGAGAACUAGAGUCAGAGAAAAACAGAGAGAGAGAGAGAGAAUGCUCAGAUAGAAAAGCAUUUGCUAGAGACCUGGAGAAGGAGAUGAGAGAGAGACAGCAUAGAGAGCAUUUUUUUUUUUUCCUGAGGAUGUCACAGUUGUCUCUGACCCUUUUCUCUUCCAGCAGGCUUGAUCUUCUAGGAGUUGAUGGUGGGCCCACUGGUUUAAUAGAUCGAGAGAUCUAUCAAUGGUGAGCACACAAUGUUGCUAGAGUCCAUGGCCCUCAGCACCCAGAGCAGUCUGUGGAUAAAAGUGAAAGAGCUCUGGAUGGUGGGGGUGCGAAGGGGGUUGGGGAGAGGGGCUGACUGGGUCACAAAGCAGAAGCAAGGGGCCCUUUGCGUUGAAGAGUACCUGUCCCUGGACUGUGGGAAGAAUGAGUGGGCUUACGGGCGUGUUUCCUGGCCACAGCACAGGUGUGGAAACCAGGUGAUCAGGAAAGGUUUCUCUGGGUUUUGACUGGGAGGGUGUGGGUGGAUACUAGUUGGAGGCUGCAGGGCGUUUGACCAGGCACCAGGUGGCAUUGCAUGCAAAAGCAUCGGGCACUUCCUUCGAGCCGGAAUCGAACCAGCGACCUAAGGAUGUCCGCAAAUGUCUGUACAAUCUACAGUCCUCCGCUCUACCAGCUGAGCUAUCGAAGGGUGCACGCUGCAAGAGCUGGAUCACUGGACUUUCCGCAAAUGGAGGAAGCCAAGUCCUUGGAACGCUGGAGUCAACACACUUAGAGUUGAUUGGAACCCGCCUUAGAAGAGAACCUUGCGCUGGUUGCCACCGCGCACCUCUCAGGGUGGAGCAAAUCCUCCGAGUGUGGUUUCCUCGCGUCCCAGAGCGCUGAUAGCCACAAUCCAGGACGGGAGGCUCUCGCCUGUGGCCUUCCUCCACCUGUGCAUCUCUGUUUUUACAAGUGAGGAUGACAGCCCUCAGCGAAAGAAAACAAGAGGGAGACAUCUUCAUUUUGUUGAUCCACAACCAAGAAAACUAACAGAAGGAAAAAGGAAUAGAUAUUUGUCUCUAGGCUCAAGCAAUUGCAACCCUCCUCCCAAAGUCAUCAUACAAGAAGACAAGGCCCCAGGCCAGACCAGGAAUACAAUCUGCAUAAAUGUUGUCUGGACAAAGCCCUUGCCCCCAUCCCCCUCCUGAUUUUUCCUGCAUGGCACUUGUCAGAAAAAGGAAAAUCUGAAAGAACAAUGUUUAAAAGUGGCCCAAGAUGGCUGCAGGUUGAGCAUAUAGGUAAUAGAAACUAGACCUAUGAACUAAAGCUGAACUCUAGCCUGAAAGGCUAAAGUUUGUCUUUUUUUGUCUUUUUUUUUUUUUUUGAGACAGAGUCUUGCUCUGUUGCCCAGGCUGGAGUGCAGUGGCAUGAUUUCGGCUCACUGCAACCUGCUGCCUCCUAGGUUCAAGUGAUCCUCCUGCCUCAGCCUCCCAAGUAGCUGGGACUAUAGGCACACACCACCAUGUCUGGCUACUUUUUGUAUUUUUUUUUUUUUUUUUAGCAGAGUCAGGGUUUUGCCAUGUUGGGCAAGCUGGUCUCAAACUCCUGACCUCAGGUAACCACCUACGUCUGCUUCCCAAAGUUCUGGGAUUACAGCCGCGAGCCACCACACCCAGCCAUGUCAAAUGUUUUCACUGAUGUCUACUGAUUGUAACCUUGCCUAGCAGAUGAAGCACAAAGGCAGUGUCAACUGAAAAGUGACAUAACAGGCACUUGAACUUAAAGAAGUCAUGGUUAGAUUUAUUCUCAGCCAAGUUUGAGGAGUUAUGCCUGAGAACACAGACUUAGAAUAGACCUACAAUAGGUCCCAAAGUAGUUUACAUGAGGCACAGUAUACUUAAAUUUUCUAACGGGGAUGUGUGUGGCACAGGAGGGAGAAGUGGUUAAUGAAACAGUGGUUACAUUGUUGUGAUUCUGAUGAGUGCUCAGUGAUGCCAUACAUAAGGUAAAUAUACAGUUGAGUGAGUAGGGAGAAAGGCUAAGCAUCUUAGAGUCUGGUGGAGGAAGGGUGACUAAUUCCAUUCUGUCUUUGUUCUACAUCUGAUAAACAGGUUCAUGGCCAGCCCCUGUCAACAAACUCCAGUUACACAGGCAAGAGAUCAGCUUUAGUUUAUAGGCCUGGGUUUUAUUACCCAUAUGCCCAACUGCAGCCAUUGUGGGCCCAUAUUAACAUUUUAUUUGAAUUUUCCUUUUUCUAACAGCAAGAUAACAUCAGUCAUUCCCCUCCAAACCCUAAGAUGCGUACAUACUCCUUUACUUGUUACCCUAUCCCUAUAUAUGUUAACCACACUUUUGGUUUGUCUGUGAAUACCAUCACUAAACAUCAGUCAAAACUGUAAAAAUGUCACCUUUGCUUCACUGCCCCCUUCUUUGAUUUUUUAUUUAGAAAAAACAUGUAAAUACCGUGCCUCAUGUAACCCACUCUGGGACACAUUCUCAGUUUGCACUGUUUGUGUUCCAGGCUACGGUUCUCAACUUGGUUUGGGACAAAAUUAAUUUUGAUUUCUUUAAGUCCAUAGUGCCUAUUAUUUUAACCUUUUGGCUUGACACACUGGGGAAACAUGGGCCCACUAUGACUACUUUGUCUCUCCUGACCUGGAAAAUUAGUAUCAGUGCAGACUGCCUGAGACCUUCGCUAGACCCAGAUUCCCCACCGCCAGCAAUCUCCCCAGUUUCUCAGUAGAAGCUAUGAGAAGAGUGCAGCUGGUGAAACCACCUUUACAAAAAUUAUAACAGUGAAAGAAGUCUGAUGUAACCAACUCCAUCUUUUUUUUUUUUUUUUUCCGAGACGGAGUCUUGCUCUGUUGCCCAGGC
rnacentral:tRNA from 10 species